UUCAGGUCGGCUGAGGCACUGUCCCCUUGAAUGGGCCGACACUGACACGCAGUAGUUGGGCUGAUUACUGAGUGUCUUAUUUGGCCCGAUUGGGGUUUGAUGGGCUACUGCCAGUUUUCGAAUCAAUCUGAUGGAUUUCAUACAGUGUGUGGCCCGAUACUUCAGGAACGAACACUGAUCAGUAUCGCGGCUGUUGGCGGCAAAAAUGAAACAUUUAGCGACAGCCGGACGCUAAACGUACAUGGCCCAAUUCUGUAAAGUGACUGUCGACCCAUUACAUGUGGAAGAGCCACGAGCAGAGCAACUGUUCUGUUUGAAACCAGCAGGACGGCGCGAAACUGUCUCGUUUUGGACACUGCCUGUGAAUCCAGGCCACACUGACCAGAGACCUGCCUGCACUCCUUUGGAUGAAGAAGGCUACCCGUGUAUACAUGUGUGAACCAUUUCUUGUGUUGGAAAAACAGGAGACCUGAAGAGCUCUUGAUGCUUUUGGUUUGCCUCAUCCAUUAUGUCAGCAAAGAACAGGAGUGGGCAGGAAACAUGCGCUGUUGAAAACAUGGCCAACCAACUGGAGCACCCACAAGGCUCUUGUGAAGGAAGUCCACAAGCCUUUGUGCUUCAGGAUGGUUGGAAAGAACUCUUUGAUCAACCCCCACAGAGAGCUGAGGUGGCUAUCUUUUGGAGACACCCCCGGCUGGUAGUGCUGCUGAAACUGGUGGAGGCAACAAUGAAGCGGCAACAGAAAGAGAAGGCAGGUGGCAAAGGUUGCUGCUAUUGAAAAAUACUUUGAGAGUGAGUGUGUGUGCAUGUAUGUAGCUGGGUAGGUCAUGGUACAUGGUACAAAAAUACAGAAUUUAAAGCACUUAACACUUAACUCACAACCCACAACUACUGACAAUGGAAUUACUCUUUUAGAGUGAGUGAGUGAGGGAGAGAGAUAUAAUAUUUCUGUAAAUGUUUAAUGUUAAUUUAGAAUCAUUUAUUUCUUUGAAUCAUUAUACAGUUUUAAAAUGUUUAAUUGUUUGUGUUUUUGUAUAUGAAAGAAGUCGAUUGUUGUAGAUAAAAGUAGAUUGUAUAUUUUAACUUGUUUAAUUUCUAAAGUGUAUAUAUGUAAAAGCUUGUAUAAUUUUUAAAUGUUUGUUUUAUUUGCAAGGUUUUGUUUGUCAAACUUGUUAAUAAAAGUAGCUUGUGCUUUUAAUUACUA